rnacentral:rRNA from 1 species
AACGAACGCUGGCGGCAUGCCUAACACAUGCAAGUCGAACGAGACCUUCGGGUCUAGUGGCGCACGGGUGCGUAACGCGUGGGAACCUGCCUUUAGGUUCGGAAUAACUCAGAGAAAUUUGAGCUAAUACCGGAUGAUGUCUUCGGACCAAAGAUUUAUCGCCUUUAGAUGGGCCCGCGUUGGAUUAGCUAGUUGGUGGGGUGAAGGCCUACCAAGGCGACGAUCCAUAGCUGGUCUGAGAGGAUGAUCAGCCACACUGGGACUGAGACACGGCCCAGACUCCUACGGGAGGCAGCAGUGGGGAAUAUUGGACAAUGGGCGAAAGCCUGAUCCAGCAAUGCCGCGUGAGUGAUGAAGGCCUUAGGGUUGUAAAGCUCUUUUACCCGAGAUGAUAAUGACAGUAUCGGGAGAAUAAGCUCCGGCUAACUCCGUG